AAGAGUUUACUUGUCAUUCUCUUGCGAGAUGUAGAGCCGGUUGGAUAGGCUAGCUAGAAAAGCUUCCACGAUGACAGCAUCCAUGGUGAGACCCGCUUUCAAACACCUGCACAGGUCAACUAAUGUGCUUCACCAUCCAAAGCACCCCUUAUGAGAAAGAAAAGGGGUAAAAUGUGCUGCCAAUAUUUGUUCUGGACAGGGCAUUCAGGAGCAGUGUGCGAAUGCUUAGAACGAACACCACUUAUUUGCCUUGCUUCAAAAUCAAUUAAUCACCAAUUUGAGCAGCCAACGUUCAAACAGACAUCCCCUCCGGCUGGGCCUAGCUCCCACCGUCCUGCCACUGACUAACUGAAUGGAGAGCCAGUGCUUUGCAACAGACCUGCAAAUGUUGUCAAUGCAGAUGUCCCGCAGCUGUUCGUACAUCGAGGACUGGUCCUUUCUGUUCGAUAGCAUGGUGAAGGUUGACUGUGAAUGCUCAUUGGUCACGUUGAUCCUAAUUUCUCCUGUACCACCAAAACAAACAACACCAUUAGCCACACCGAAGCACAUCCAGAAUAACAGCAGUGGAUUUCAAUUAGAUUGGAUGUCGGCCUUCUACAGAGGCACGGUAAUCAUUUUCUACGCAGUGCUUAUAUAAAUAGUUAUAUAAUAGGCUUCAGCUCUAUGGGAAAGCAACUAGUGCCUGUUGGGAAACCACAAUAGAAAAUCAAUAACAUGAAUUGCAUUUCAGUCGUGUUUGCAUGCUGUUGCCCCGUCGUUGAACCCCCAACUCUCGAUCAAUAUUAGAAACAUGUUGCUUCUGACAGCAACAGCACUUGACUGUGAAUUACAUCAGCAUAAUUUAAUGACCCUAUACAUUCCUCCCACCGUGCAAUUGGCCAGAUUGACAAACCACAAAC